UACCUCCAUCGUCUCUAUCCUGGUCAACAUCAUCCAAGUGGCUUCCCAGGGGAAGUCGAUUUCACCCUUGGAAACCCACCCCGUUGCCACCCGCGUCGCCAUCUGCAGCCUCCUCCUGCAUUUCUCUUUGGGGCGUGUCGCUAAUCGAGCACCACCGCCUCGCGGCCCUGCUCUUUCUUGGGAUGGAGCAGCGCUCCUCCUCUUCCACUUCACCGGUUUGACAUCGGUGUUUUCGCUCGCGUGGUUGCUGCUCCACGACUCCUUCCACUCCCUCCUCUGAAUGUGGGAGUCGUUACAUCAUGUAGUCUUCAUUUUACCUCUGAGAGGCGACAACUAGAUCUUUGCUGUGGCAAAUGCAUUAACUUGCAAUCAAAGACUAUGUUGUCUCCCUGGCUGAUUAACAUUCAAGCCGCCGAGGCUAAGAGAACAACAAUCUUGGAUGUCGACUGUAGCAGUGAGUCCAAUUGACUUGCAUAAAAACGUAAGUUGAAACAUUAAACAGAAGGGUGUUCUCCUGACUCCCGAAUUCUUUUUGUCUUGGUAAGGGCAUCUCCAAAUCUGCAACUAAAUGCACUUCGCUUGCAGCUUUCGGAGACCAGCAUUACACGUCUUUUCUUGAGUACCUCCAGUUAUGUGCCCACUUUUUCCUGCAGAAUUUCAACUUUUUCAUCUAGUUCAGGCUGUUCAGCAAUAGCAGGGUCUUCAGGUACUUGCACUAUUCUAGCAACUUGUAUUAAACACUGUUUGGUAUUAGCACAUUUUCUGCUGAUUAUUACUUAUUGUGGAGAUGAGUCUAUAUAUAUGAUGUUAAAAAGGAGCAUGGCUAUUCACCACAUCACAUGGCAACAUCUUGUAACCAGUUUUGGCUAAAGGCUGUUUAGCAAGA